GAUGAACGCUGGCGGCGUGCUUAACACAUGCAAGUCGAACGGAGUGGCGAACGGGUGAGUAACACGUGAGUGACCUGCCUUGCAAUUCGGGAUAAGCUUGGGAACCUGGGUCUAAUACCGGAUAGUGCAAGAUGUGCUCGCGGCCUAUCAGCUUGUUGGUGAGGUAAUGGCCUACCAAGGCGUCGACGGGUAGCCGGCCUGAGAGGGUGUACGGCCACAUUGGGACUUAGGUACGGCCUAGCGUGCGACGGGAGGCAGCAGUGGGGAAUAUUGCACAAUGAGCGGGAGCGUGAUGCAGCGACGCGGCGUGGGUGAUGAAGGGCUUCGAGUUGUGAACUCAUUUCGACAGGGACGCGGUACCUGUAUAAGAAGCACCGGCUAACUACGUGCCAGCAGCCGCGGUAAUUC
rnacentral:rRNA from 1 species